UGGGGAAUUUGGACAAUGGGCGAAAGCCUGAUCCAGCAAUGCCGCGUGUGUGAAGAAGGCCUUCGGGUUGUAAAGCACUUUUGUCCGGAAAGAAAUCCUUGGCUCUAAUACAGUCGGGGGAUGACGGUACCGGAAGAAUAAGCACCGGCUAACUACGUGCCAGCAGCCGCGGUAAUACGUAGGGUGCAAGCGUUAAUCGGAAUUACUGGGCGUAAAGCGUGCGCAGGCGGUUUGCUAAGACCGAUGUGAAAUCCCCGGGCUCAACCUGGGAACUGCAUUGGUGACUGGCAGGCUAGAGUAUGGCAGAGGGGGGUAGAAUUCCACGUGUAGCAGUGAAAUGCGUAGAGAUGUGGAGGAAUACCGAUGGCGAAGGCAGCCCCCUGGGCCAAUACUGACGCUCAUGCACGAAAGCGUGGGGAGCAAAACAGGAUUAGAUACCCUGGUAGUCCACGCCCUAAAACGAUGUCAACUAGUUGUUGGGGAUUCAUUUCCUUAGUAACGUAGCUAACGCGUGAAGUUGACCGCCUGGGGAGUACGGUCGCAAGAUUAAAACUUAAAUGAAUUGACGGGGUCAUAGCUGUUUCCU
rnacentral:rRNA from 1 species